ACCAUCAAAACUCUGGACAAAGAACACCAUAGUCCAUAAGAACAGGACACUGGUAUACAGGACGUCCAGUCCAUUCAGCUUCAUUUUUAGACUGGUUUUUCAGGGUAAUUUUCUCUCCUUAAGAUCCCACUAAUCUUUAAAGCAGAAGACAGUUAUGAAGGAAGGAAAAGAAGGUGAGAAAGUAGAACUGAAAAAUGAAAAGCCAGUAUCUCAAGAAACCUAUUGCACUCGUUUCUUUUAUAUAAUUAAAAUUCAUUGUUAUGUAUCCUCGUUGUCAUUUGUUUACUACAUAGAAAAUGUGUUGCACCAGCUGUUAUGUAUGUAAAUUAUAUAUUUAUUUAGUAUGUGAAACAUCAAGAGGGCACAAAUAACAAAAAACGUUCUGUUCAAGGGUCAUACGAUCUUCACUAAAUUAUAUUCUUGAUUGUAAAAAAAAAAACAUUAUAGCUGGUGUGGGCAAUUAGCCACACCAGCCCACAAGCUCAGAUCCCUAGUGAACAAAUACAACCACAACAACAAAACAAGCUAUUGGCAAUGAUCAAUAACCCUAUUUCCAUUGCCAAUACUCAUCCCCUCGCAAAACCAAGACUCGCCCUUGUCCUUUGUAGUGUAGCAAAAAACUUUUGGCUAGGCUAAUGGUCAUUGCCAGUAGCCUCAGAUCACCUGCCGAUGUUUUAGAAGUGCAAGGACAGGGAAGCCUGGGCAUCGGGCCCGGGUACCUGGUACUUGGCUUGAUACUGGGCCUGAAAGACCAGCCCAGGUCGGCCUGAUGGGGCCCAAUUCAGCCUGAUUAAUUUUUUAUAUUAUUUUUAUUUAAUAAUAAUAUAUAUAUCAUUAUUAAAAAUGUGUUUUGUAUUUAAAAAUUUUUAUUUUAUAUUUAAAAUAUAUAUAUUUUUAAUCGGGUCGAGCCCAACCUCGGGUUUUGGGCAUUAAGUCGGGCCCAAGCUCGGGUUUCGGGGGUCGGGUGCCGGCCAGAUGUCGAGGCCUAGGGGCAGGUCAUUCCCAGCUUUUAUCCAAUGAUGUGCCCAUGUUGAGAAAACUGUUGCAAAUCAAUAUAGGUUAGAACAGCAACCUUCUCCAAAGAUCAAUUAACACAAUUGGUCUCCACUCAACAAGUAAAUUGGGCAAUGGUCAUAAACCAACGUACUACUUAUUUAUGGAAGUGCCUCACGCUCUCCUCCCUUCCUUAAUACUCUCUUGAUGUAUAAGGGCAUGACUGAUUGUAUUGGCAAAAUUAUUAUCAAAAUAAAAAACGUUGGUUUCUCUUGCUUGUGGAUGCAGGCUGCAAAGCCAAACCACGUAAAACUGGUGCAGCCUCUUUUCUCUCUAUCAUCCUUAUCUUUCAUUAAAUCUCAGUCUAUCAUGGUAUCAGAGCGGUAAAAAGAUCUUCUAAGGCAAAAACUUCGAGCUUCAAGCAGUGAUUCAUUAUGGAACAAGAAAGGGAAACAAGGAAUGACAACGGUGAAGCCACCAUCAUUCAAACCAGCGAUGGAUCAAUGCACAAGAUUGACGUUCAUGAACAAGGAUCGAAUGACUCAGAAGAUGAUUGGUGAAGGACAACUUGUCAAUGGACUCAAUCAAAUAAGAACCAUGAAUCAUGCACUGAAUGUAAAUCAUGUCAACGAUGGAAAUAUCUGGCAUCAAAGAAUGGGUCAUCCAUCUUCUAGAUUUUUAGAUUACUUAUUUCCUAAUCUGUGCUUCAAUUGUAGAGAGUGUGGAA